rnacentral:rRNA from 1 species
GAUGAACGCUGACAGAAUGCUUAACACAUGCAAGUCAACUUGAAUUUGGGUUUUUAACUUAGGUUUGGGUGGCGGACGGGUGAGUAACGCGUAAAGAACUUGCCUCACAGCUAGGGACAACAUUUGGAAACGAAUGCUAAUACCUAAUAUUAUGAUAAUAGGGCAUCCUAUAAUUAUGAAAGCUAUAAGCGCUGUGAGAGAGCUUUGCGUCCCAUUAGCUAGUUGGAGAGGUAACGGCUCACCAAGGCGAUGAUGGGUAGCCGGCCUGAGAGGGUGAUCGGCCACAAGGGGACUGAGACACGGCCCUUACUCCUACGGGAGGCAGCAGUGGGGAAUAUUGGACAAUGGACCGAGAGUCUGAUCCAGCAAUUCUGUGUGCACGAUGAAGUUUUUCGGAAUGUAAAGUGCUUUCAGUUGGGAAGAAACAAAUGACGGUACCAACAGAAGAAGUGACGGCUAUAUACGUG